rnacentral:snoRNA from 1 species
UGCCUUGAUUCCAUGUGUAUGGGCAGUCUCCAAUGUCUGUGUCUGAAACUUUCAAGGCAAUAGUAACUUACAAGUUUUGCUUCCAUCACGCUAAAUCUAUAGCGGUGAUGACAAUGAGACUUGGUACAUGC